AGCAUUGAAGGACAUUGGAGAACAAGUCAGACACAAUUCCUGUGAAAGGUCCAUGGAAACUUGAGCUGCUGGAGUCACUUGUGACCAGAUGUGUUUGGGGACCAGAGUAAAAGGUUAGGAAACUUAAAUGAGAGAGGGACAACUUGCAUAACUGCACUCAAGGGGUUCCAAAUUCAAGAAACUAAUGGCAGUG
rnacentral:lncRNA from 1 species